GGAGAAGUAUGAGACUCCCCUCCCCAUCUAGGCUUUUUUUCUUUUCUUUUGUCUAUGCCUUUAUGUCAGUUCUGCUCAGUCCUUAGCACAAUUUAUUAGCAAUGCAUUGUGUUGUGUAGUCCUUAUUUUUUUUUUAACAUUCCAUUUUUCUUUAGGCACAAUGACUCUCAUGUGUUCCGUAUCUCCCGCUGUCUGUUUUAAACCAUUUCUGUUCAUUUCAGUUACAUUUUGCCUUCUGCUCUGUUU